GGGACACGUGGUAUCCUGUCUGAAUAUGGGGGGACCAUCCUCCAAGGCUAAAUACUCCUGACUGACCGAUAGUGAACCAGUACCGUGAGGGAAAGGCGAAAAGAACCCCGGCGAGGGGAGUGAAAAAGAACCUGAAACCGUGUACGUACAAGCAGUGGGAGCACCUUCGGGUGUGACUGCGUACCUUUUGUAUAAUGGGUCAGCGACUUAUAUUCUGUAGCAAGGUUAACCGUAUAGGGGAGCCGCAGGGAAACCGAGUCUUAACUGGGCGUUAAGUUGCAGGGUAUAGACCCGAAACCCGGUGAUCUAGCCAUGGGCAGGUUGAAGGUUGGGUAACACUAACUGGAGGACCGAACCGACUAAUGUUGAAAAAUUAGCGGAUGACUUGUGGCUGGGGGUGAAAGGCCAAUCAAACCGGGAGAUAGCUGGUUCUCCCCGAAAGCUAUUUAGGUAGCGCCUCGUGAAUUCAUCUUCGGGGGUAGAGCACUGUUUCGGCUAGGGGGUCAUCCCGACUUACCAACCCGAUGCAAACUACGAAUACCGAAGAAUGUUAUCACGGGAGACACACGGCGGGUGCUAACGUCCGUCGUGAAGAGGGAAACAACCCAGACCGCCAGCUAAGGUCCCAAAGUCACAGUUAAGUGGGAAACGAUGUGGGAAGGCACAGACAGCCAGGAUGUUGGCUUAGAAGCAGCCAUCAUUUAAAGAAAGCGUAAUAGCUCACUGGUCGAGUCGGCCUGCGCGGAAGAUGUAACGGGGCUAAACUGUGCACCGAAGCUGCGGCAGCGACACUAUGUGUUGUUGGGUAGGGGAGCGUUCUGUAAGCCUGCGAAGGUGGCCUGUGAGGGUUGCUGGAGGUAUCAGAAGUGCGAAUGCUGACAUAAGUAACGAUAAUGCGGGUGAAAAGCCCGCACGCCGGAAGACCAAGGGUUCCUGUCCAACGUUAAUCGGGGCAGGGUGAGUCGACCCCUAAGGCGAGGCCGAAAGGCGUAGUCGAUGGGAAACAGGUUAAUAUUCCUGUACUUGGUGUUACUGCGAAGGGGGGACGGAGAAGGCUAUGUUAGCCGGGCGACGGUUGUCCCGGUUUAAGCAUGUAGGCGGAGGU
rnacentral:rRNA from 1 species